rnacentral:tRNA from 1 species
CCUCUCGUGGCGUAGGGGUGACGCUCCCUAUCUCUAGAACAGGGUGUCGUGAGUUCGAUUCUCACCGAGAAGA